ACCAGGAUGGCCGAGUGGUUAAGGCGUUGGACUUAAGAUCCAAUGGAUGAAUAUCCCCGUGGGUUCGAACCCCACUCCUGGUA
rfam:Danio rerio chromosome 17, GRCz11 reference primary assembly.